UACGGAGGGGGCUAGCGUUGUUCGGAAUUACUGGGCGUAAAGCGCGCGUAGGCGGACCUGCAAGUCGGGGGUGAAAGCCCGAGGCUCAACCUCGGAACUGCCUUCGAUACUGCGGGUCUCGAGUCCGGGAGAGGUGAGUGGAAUUCCUAGUGUAGAGGUGAAAUUCGUAGAUAUUAGGAAGAACACCAGUGGCGAAGGCGGCUCACUGGCCCGGUACUGACGCUGAGGCGCGAAGGCUAGGGGAGCAAACAGG
rnacentral:rRNA from 1 species